rnacentral:rRNA from 1 species
GACGUAGGGGGCGAGCGUUGUCCGGAUUUAUUGGGCGGAAAGCGUGCGUAGGCGGCUGCGCAAGUCGGUUGUGAAACCCCGGGGCUCAACCCCGGAACUGCAUCCGAUACUGCGUGGCUAGAGGUAGGUAGGGGAGAUCGGAAUUCCUGGUGUAGCGGUGAAAUGCGCAGAUAUCAGGAGGAACACCGGUGGCGAAGGCGGAUCUCUGGGCCUUACCUGACGCUCAGGCACGAAAGCUAGGGGAGCGAACAGG